rnacentral:tRNA from 3 species
GCGGGAGUGGUGGAAUUGGUAGACACGCUGGAUUUAGGUUCCAGUGCCGCAAGGUGUGAGAGUUCGAGUCUCUCCUUCCGCACCA